GACGAACGCUGGCGGCGCGCUUAACACAUGCAAGUCGAACGGAAAGGCCUGCUUUCCCUUGUGGAUUGCGGGUACUCGAGUGGCGAACGGGUGAGUAACACGUGAGUGAUCUGCCCCCAACUUGGGUAUAAGCCUGGGAAACUGGGUCUAAUUCCCGAUAGGACUGCAGGGUGGUGCCUGUGGUGGAAAACGAUUUUCUAGUGGUUGGGGAUGAGCUCGCGGCCUAUCAGCUUGUUGGUGGGGUAAUGGCCUACCAAGGCGGCGACGGGUAGCCGGCCUGAGAGGGUGGACGGCCACAUUGGGACUGAGAUCCGGCCCAGACUCCUACGGGAGGCAGCAGUGGGGAAUAUUGCACAAUGGGCGGAAGCCUGAUGCAGCGACGCCGCGUGGGGGAUGACGGCCUUCGGGUUGUAAACUCCUUUCGACCGCGAGGAAGCCACCUGGUUGGAAGGGUGGUGACGGUAGUGGUAGAAGAAGCACCGGCUAACUACGUG
rnacentral:rRNA from 1 species